CCUUAUGUCCUGGGCUACACACGUGCUACAAUGGCCUGUACAAAGCGAGGCGAAACAGUGAUGUGAAGCAAAACGCAUAAAGCAGGUCUCAGUCCGGAUUGAAGUCUGAAACUCGACUUCAUGAAGUUGGAAUCGCUAGUAAUCGUAUAUCAGAAUGAUACGGUGAAUACGUUCUCGGGCCUUGUACACACCGCCCGUCACACCACCCGAGUUGAGGAUACCCGAAGCUAUUAUUCUAACCCGUAAGGGAGGAAGGUAUUUAAGGUAUGUUUAGUGAGGGGGGUGAAGUCGUAACAAGGUAGCCGUACUGGAAAGUGCGGCUGGAUCACCUCCUUUCUAAG
rnacentral:rRNA from 2 species